CUGGAAGAGGGCUACCUAUCAUGCAACUUAUAGAGUUGCGUACAGUGGUGGGGUUGUAAACAGUAAGUACAACAUAUUGUUUUUACCAUAGUGGACAACGGGUAUUACAUUUUAUUUUUGUGGAGCUAGCCAAUCUUCGAAUCGAGUUUAGUCUAUAAUAUUAGUCCCUGGAAGAGGGCUACCUAUCAUGCAACUUAUAGAGUUGCGUACAGUGGUGGGGUUGUAAACAGUAAGUACAACAUAUUGUUUUUACCAUAGUGGACAACGGGUAUUACAUUUUAUUUUUGUGGAGCUAGCCAAUCUUCGAAUCGAGUUUAGUCUAUAAUAUUAGUCCCUGGAAGAGGGCUACCUAUCAUGCAACUUAUAGAGUUGCGUACAGUGGUGGGGUUGUAAACAGUAAGUACAACAUAUUGUUUUUACCAUAGUGGACAACGGGUAUUACAUUUUAUUUUUGUGGAGCUAGCCAAUCUUCGAAUCGAGUUUAGUCUAUAAUAUUAGUCCCUGGAAGAGGGCUACCUAUCAUGCAACUUAUAGAGUUGCGUACAGUGGUGGGGUUGUAAACAGUAAGUACAACAUAUUGUUUUUACCAUAGUGGACAACGGGUAUUACAUUUUAUUUUUGUGGAGCUAGCCAAUCUUCGAAUCGAGUUUAGUCUAUAAUAUUAGUCCCUGGAAGAGGGCUACCUAUCAUGCAACUUAUAGAGUUGCGUACAGUGGUGGGGUUGUAAACAGUAAGUACAACAUAUUGUUUUUACCAUAGUGGACAACGGGUAUUACAUUUUAUUUUUGUGGAGCUAGCCAAUUUUCGAAUCGAGUUGAAAAGUUUUUAAGAUAGAAAUGUGGAGCGGAAGGUCAUAUACAAUUUUCAGAUCAAAUUUUCUGCCUCUUUCGUUCCUCAGCCUACGAAAAAUAACACUUCUUUGCGAAAUCACGUUUAACUAAAUGCGCAAUGAUUUUGUAAUUUAGUGUACCAUAUGAAAGAGACGGGCUGGAUCAAGGUAUCACAGAAUGAUGUUGGUGAACUGCAUUACAAAUAUCAAGACGAGAAAAAGAGAUAAAAACUCUGUAAGAAUAGUUUGUACUGUAGUUUGUACUGUUGCUAGGGGUUUGUGUCAAAAUUUAGUCAUUAAAGUUUAAAAAUUUGUGAGAAU
rnacentral:lncRNA from 1 species